AGGAACAAACCAAUGAAGUCUUUAGGGUGUUGGAUGGAACGUACAUACCUGUUGAGUGGCGGGCUGGGUUUGGGCUUUGGUACGCGGCCUUCAGGAAGAUGUGGUCUGUGGUCUGGGAGGAGACCUGGAGCAGUAAGAAAGAAGCAAUAGAUUGGCAGAAAACAUGUAUUUCCCGACGCUGUGUAGCCACACACUGUCAUUCACUACCUAAAGCCAGUGAUGUUACAGACCUGCUCGAUGGGCCAUCUGCACACAUAUGGCGAUCUUGCGAUGUUCCUGAGCACAGAGGCCAGUGAUGCGUCUUGGCAACAUCCCUCCAUCUGAACGAAUGAACUGACUCAGUAGUAAAACAUCCUAUAGAUUUAGAAAUGGGACAUGGGGGAGCCUGAAGCCUAUCCCAGGGGACGCUGGGGACACCCUGGAUGGGGUACCAACCCAUUCACACACUACGGACAAUUUAGAGAAGGAAAUCAGCCUACAACGCAUGUCUUUGGACUGAGAAAGGAAACCGGAGUACCCGGAGGAAACCCUGAAGCACAGGAAGAACAUGCAAAUUCCACAAGUUUCCAUGGUGGAAGCGCGAAUAAACCCUCCAACCCUGGAGUUUCUCCGACAAAUGGGCUGUGAGUGAAGACAGUGCAGAAACUUUUGAAAACUAUUUUGAAGAGAUUCAACUGGUUUCAGGUUCAUCGACGAUGGGGAUUUAGUGACCUGAAGGUUGGAAGUUAAAAUGCCAGUACUGAAAAUUUACACAGCCAGUAACGCAAAUCUGUGUACCUAAAAACAAGAACAGUACCACAUGACUUUUUCUUCCUUCGAGUAAGGCAGAAAGGUUGGCAUUUGAAUCAUCAUCUGUUUUUCCUUUUCUACAUAAGACUGUUCAGAGAGUUCAGAGCUAGCAAAAGUGCACGCUUGGAUCCAAAAUCAGUUGCGUAAAAGCAACCGCAAAACGAAUACAUGUAAAGUUGAGCAAGAUGUUGACGGUUUUACCCCAACUAGGGCUGGGCGAUAUAUAAAUAUAGUACUGAUAUCAUAAAUGUUUUCACGAUACACCUUUCUGAGAUAUUUUUGGUAUGGUGAUGUAUUUUUUAAAAAAAAACAUUUUUAAUAAUUACAUAUUAAAUGGUACUGAACAGAUACUGUUGAGCUGACAUCAUAAAAAAAAAAAAAACUAUCUUGUCAUUGUAGGCAUUAAAGAAAAGUAUCAUCAAACUCAGUUUAACAUUUUUUUUUUGUUUAUUUUACUACUGUUUUGCAGACAGUUUGUUAGCUACAUUACAGAUCGGCAUACGCGUUGCGUAUCAUAGAAAUGUCUCCAAGUAUCGUGAUAUGAUAUUUCUGCCAAAUCGCCCAGCGCGUCUAUUUGUGCUAGUCUCUAGUCUCAGUGUGAAAAGUUGGCUUUUAAUUCACAGGAAGGGUGAGAGUGUGCACAAGUGGCACAAGCCACGCUCGUUUAUUUUAAGUGUAUAAAUAAAAUCUUCACUUUUACACACCAUGUUCAAUUUUAAUGUUGAACCCUUUAGAUAUUGUGUAUGCACUCACAUCUACCACUGUUGCACAACAUGCUCAAAUACCUCUCUUGAUUAAAAGCAGACUUAUACAUAGGUUAUAUUCUAAGUGGUGUUAAUACUCAGGAUUAAUCUGAAUUUAAUAUUAAAAGUAGACUGUGUGAGUGUAAACAGCUGUAUAUGUGUGAUGAUAACAGAUUUGAUGGUGAUUUUCCGUGCAGAAAGUAUUGAGGAACAUUCAACCAUCCAACAUUUAAUCGGAUAAGGUUUAGAUUUGACAUGUAAACAGCACAUUCUCACAUAGUGCACACACAGGAUAUGAACUAACUUUUGUGCAGUUUGAGAUUCAGUCUGACAUUGAUCGUUUGCACCAUGCACAUGUGUCUAACUGAACAGGUUAAAUAAAUAAACAGCUCAUAAA